rnacentral:lncRNA from 1 species
CUCCAUGCCUUGGCUGGAGAUGCCUUGGCUGUCCUGAAGGCGGUUCCAUUGGUGAUAUGUCCCCACCCCCAGUUUCCGAGGGCGGGGGCAGCCCUUCAGCUGAAUCUCUCUGCUCUGCUUCUCUUCCUCCAGGACACAAUUGAGAGCACACACCAGGUGGAACAAAACAGUGGCAAUUGGCAAUGUGGGGUGGCUCGCACCUGUAAUCUCAGCACUUUGGGGGACCAAGGUACCUGCCAUGAGUCUUAUAACAAGCCACUCUCCACAAUCACCCCACAAAAGCUACAGGACCGCCUGUCACUCUAAGCUUUCAGAUCAGAAGAAGCCCCAGAGCUUGAGCAUUGAAGAUCCCUGUCCCUCUGUCUCCUGUCGCUUCUGCCAGGCCGAAAAAAAUGUUUACCCG